GACGGAGGGUGCAAGCGUUGCUCGGAAUCACUGGGCGUAAAGGGUGCGUAGGCGGUCUCUCAAGUCUGACGUGAAAGCCCAGGGCUCAGCCCUGGAAGUGCGCUAGAAACUGAGAGGCUCGAGUGCCGGAGGGGAGAGUGGAAUUCCCGGUGUAGCGGUGAAAUGCGUAGAUAUCGGGAGGAAUACCGGUGGCGAAGGCGACUCUCUGGACGGUAACUGACGCUGAGGCACGAAAGCGUGGGGAGCAAACAGG
rnacentral:rRNA from 1 species